AUGCUCGCUUUGCAGCACAUAUACUAAAACUGGAACAAUACAGAGGUUAGCACGACACCUGCACAAGGAUGGCAUGCAAAUUCAUGAAGGGUUCCAUAUUUUA